rnacentral:rRNA from 1 species
UACGUAGGGUGCGAGCGUUGUCCGGAAUUAUUGGGCGUAAAGAGCUUGUAGGCGGUUUGUCGCGUCUGCUGUGAAAAUCCGGGGCUCAACCCCGGACUUGCAGUGGGUACGGGCAGACUGGAGUGUGGUAGGGGGAGACUGGAAUUCCUGGUGUAGCGGUGGAAUGCGCAGAUAUCAGGAGGAACACCGAUGGCGAAGGCAGGUCUCUGGGCCACUACUGACGCUGAGGCGCGAAAAGCUAGGGGGGAGCAAAACAGG